rnacentral:rRNA from 1 species
UACAGAGGGGGCAAGCGUUGUUCGGAAUUACCGGGCGUAAAGGGCGCGUAGGCGGCCCGCUAAGUCGAACGUGAAAUCCCUGGGCUCAACCCAGGAACUGCGUCCGAUACUGGCAGGCUUGAAUCCGGGAGAGGGAUGUGGAAUUCCAGGUGUAGCGGUGAAAUGCGUAGAUAUCUGGAGGAACACCGGUGGCGAAGGCGGCAUCCUGGACCGGUAUUGACGCUGAUGCGCGAAAGCCAGGGGAGCAAACGGG